ACACGGUCCANACUCCUACGGGAGGCAGCAGUGGGGAAUAUUGGACAAUGGGCGAAAGCCUGAUCCAGCCAUGCCGCGUGUGUGAAGAAGGUCUUCGGAUUGUAAAGCACUUUAAGUUGGGAGGAAGGGCAGUAAAUUAAUACUUUGCUGUUUUGACGUUACCGACAGAAUAAGCACCGGCUAACUCUGUGCCAGCAGCCGCGGUAAUACAGAGGGUGCAAGCGUUAAUCGGAAUUACUGGGCGUAAAGCGCGCGUAGGUGGUUUGUUAAGUUGGAUGUGAAAACCCCGGGCUCAACCUGGGAACUGCAUUCAAAACUGACAAGCUAGAGUAUGGUAGAGGGUGGUGGAAUUUCCUGUGUANCGGUGAAAUGCGUANAUAUAGGAAGGAACACCAGUGGCGAAGGCGACCACCUGGACUGAUACUGACACUGAAGUGCGAAAGCGUCCGGAGCAAACAGGAUUAGAUACCCUGGUAGUCCACGCC
rnacentral:rRNA from 1 species